rnacentral:rRNA from 1 species
UUGACGUUUCGAACUAUGGCGAAACGUAGCGGACGGCUCAGUAACACGUGGCUAACCUGCCCUUGAGACGAGUUUAAUCCCGGGAAACUGGGGCUAAUACGCGAUAGGUGAAGAUGCCUGGAAUGGUUCAUCAUCUAAAGGACGUUGAGACCAUGUUUCACAGUGUCGCUCAAGGAUGGGGCCGCGGCCGAUCAGGUAGUUGGUGGGGUAACUGCUCACCAAGCCUUUGACCGGUACGGGCCGUGAGAGCGGGAGCCCGGAGAUGGGCACUGAGAUAAGGGCCCAGGCCCUAUGGGGCGCAGCAGUUGCGAAACCUCCGCAAUGCGCGAAAGCGUGACGGGGUUACCCCAAGUGCCAUCCGCUGAGGACGGCUUUUCUUUGGUGUAAUGAGCCAAAGGAAUAAGGGGGGGGCAAGACUGGUGUCAGCCGCCGCGGUAAUACCAGCUCCCCGAGUGGUAGGGACAAUUAUUGGGCUUAAAGCGUCCGUAGCCGGCCUGACAAGUCUUUCGUUAAAUCCAGCGACUUAAUCGUUGGGCUGCGGGAGAUACUAUCGGGCUAGGGGAAGGGAGAGGCCGACGGUAUUCCCGGAGUAGGGGUGAAAUCCUAUAAUUCCGGGAGGACCACCAGUGGCGAAGGCUGUCGGCUAGAACGAGCUCGACGGUGAGGGACGAAAGCUGGGGGAGCGAACCGGAUUAGAUACCCGGGUAGUCCCAGCUGUAAACGAUGCGGGCUAGGUGUUAGGGUGGCUACGAGCCACUCUAGUGCCGCAGCGAAGGCGU